GACAGAGGGUGCAAACGUUGUUCGGAAUUACUGGGCGUAAAGCGCGUGUAGGCGGCCAUGCAAGUCGGAUGUGAAAGCCCUCGGCUCAACCGGGGAAGUGCACUCGAAACUGCAAGGCUAGAGUCUCGGAGAGGAUCGUGGAAUUCUCGGUGUAGAGGUGAAAUUCGUAGAUAUCGAGAGGAACACCGGUGGCGAAGGCGGCGAUCUGGACGAUGACUGACGCUGAGACACGAAAGCGUGGGUAGCAAACAGG
rnacentral:rRNA from 1 species